UACAGAGGGUGCAAGCGUUGUUCGGAAUUACUGGGCGUAAAGGGCGCGUAGGCGGCCUUCUAAGUCGAACGUGAAAUCCCCGGGCUCAACCCGGGAACUGCGUCCGAGACUGGAAGGCUCGAAUCCGGGAGAGGGAUGUGGAAUUCCAGGUGUAGCGGUGAAAUGCGUAGAUAUCUGGAGGAACACCGGUGGCGAAGGCGGCAUUCUGGACCGGUAUUGACGCUGAGGAGCGAAAGCCAGGGGAGCAAACGGG
rnacentral:rRNA from 1 species